UUCUCCCUAGCUAUCUCACAGUCAUCACUCCUCCAUUAACAACUUCUUCUUCUCGCCCACCUUCUACAUUAACAUGUUUCGCAUUCGGCAUCAAUUAUAUCUCUCUAUCUCACAACAAAGAGUUUAACUUCUUCUUCUCCCUCUCAUCUUCGAUCAAAACCCUAGAACUGAAAUUAGAGAUUACUUUCAAAAAUUGAAUCAGAGGCUUUCAAUCAAUCUAUUUUUAAUUGCAGAAUGGUGGUUCAUAGAUUAUCUUCUUCUUCAUUAGGGGGUUGGAUCCAUGUUUCUAACUAAAAUUACCCAAUUGUGACUGGGAUGAAAGAUUGCGAGCCCAUCAUGGAAGUGCAACACUGUAGAAAUUAGCCAUUUGAACUCAUUGCACCUGGCUAUACAGUUCCGCUGUGUUUGUGGUGCUUGGGAAGGCAACCGGAUUUAAAAUAGCGGCAAGAAGAAGAAGAAGCUCUUAGCUGCAGACCCUGUGAAUGAUCUUGAUAUCAUGCUAAGCAAAUGGUCGAACCGGGACGAAUUGAAAUUCAGCAUUUGACGUGCAACGCACGUGCACUCUACAUGUGAUGAGUAAUCUAGGAAAACUUGUGUGAACAUCUGUAAUACGAAGAAUGGGAUCUAUCACCAGGAAUUAGUUUGGUUUUGUUCACAGAAAAUCCCCAAAUUGGCUGAAAAUUUUGAUACAUAAAAUUUUAUAAUUCACUGAAUGGGUUUGUAAAGCAUGAUUCGC